rnacentral:rRNA from 1 species
AUUGAACGCUGGCGGCAUGCUUUACACAUGCAAGUCGAACGGUAACAGGUUAAGCUGACGAGUGGCGAACGGGUGAGUAAUGCAUCGGAACGUGCCCGGUCGUGGGGGAUAACGCAGCGAAAGCUGCGCUAAUACCGCAUACGAUCUAAGGAUGAAAGCGGGGGACCGUAAGGCCUCGCGCGAUCGGAGCGGCCGAUGUCAGAUUAGGUAGUUGGUGGGGGUAAAGGCUCACCAAGCCAACGAUCUGUAGCUGGUCUGAGAGGACGACCAGCCACACUGGGACUGAGACACGGCCCAGACUCCUACGGGAGGCAGCAGUGGGGAAUUUUGGACAAUGGGCGAAAGCCUGAUCCAGCAAUGCCGCGUGCAGGAAGAAGGCCUUCGGGUUGUAAACUGCUUUUGUACGGAGCGAAAAGGUCUCCUCUAAUACAGGGGGCUCAUGACGGUACCGUAAGAAUAAGCACCGGCUAACUACGUGCCAGCAGCCGCCGUAA